CCUACGGGAGGCAGCAGUGGGGAAUUUUGGACAAUGGGCGCAAGCCUGAUCCAGCUAUUCCGCGUGUGGGAAGACGGCCUUCGGGUUGUAAACCACUUUUGUAGAGAACGAAAAGUCUAUUGAUAAUACCGAUAGAUGAUGACGGUACUCUAAGAAUAAGCACCGGCUAACUACGUGCCAGCAGCCGCGGUAAUACGUAGGGUGCGAGCGUUAAUCGGAAUUACUGGGCGUAAAGGGUGUGCAGGCGGUUUUGCAAGAUUGAUGUGAAAGCCCCGGGCUUAACCUGGGAAGGCCAUACAUGACUGCAAGACUAGAGUGCGUCAGAGGGGGGUGGAAUUCCAAGUGUAGCAGUGAAAUGCGUAGAUAUUUGGAAGAACACCGAUGGCGAAGGCAGCCCCCUGGGACGCAACUGACGCUCAUACACGAAAGCGUGGGGAGCAAACAGGAUUAGAUACCCGUGUAGUC
rnacentral:rRNA from 1 species